UGUAGCAUCCCCCGAACCCGAGCCCCAAAUCGCCGCGGAUUCGGUUCGCUAAACAUUCUAUAACUGUUUGCGGAAGAUAUAAACAUAAAUUAUUUAUACAUUACAUUACACACUAUACCCCAAGGUCGAGUAACCUUAACUUAUUACACAAUCAUAAAUGAUCUAACAUUAUCACAUUUAUCAAACUAUACUAUUACAAAAUAGCCGCACAAUUUAUCCCAAGUUGAACUUGGCAUUAUCUUUUCCUG
rnacentral:lncRNA from 1 species